UUGUUCUGGUUGAAUUCCAGCGUUGUAAAUGCUCCUCCCUAUUCGUCAAUUGCAUGACCCCGAGUUAGGUCGUUUGUCAUUCUCUACAGCGACGUCGGUGUUGCGGCCGCUUUUUCUUCUUAAUUCUUGUUGUAUCAGCCUCUUCCCAUUGGCUGCAUUAUAAAGACAUCUGAACAGAAUAACCAUCAAUAGUGUUUAAUUGCCUAAAGCCCACAUGCCUAGGGGAAUAAGGAGUUUGUUCCUAUCCCAACAAGGAGUUAGCUGGUGUGGUACUGCAG
rnacentral:lncRNA from 1 species